rnacentral:rRNA from 1 species
GAUGAACGCUCGCGGCAGGCUUAACACAUGCAAGUCGAGGGGCAGCGCGGGAUAGCAAUAUCCUGGCGGCGACCGGCGGAAGGGUGCGUAACGCGUGAGCGACAUGCCCGUUGCCCGGGGACAACCGGUGGAAACGCCGACUAAUCCCCGAUGGGAUACGUUGCUUCAUGGCAUUGUAUUGAAAGUUACGGCGGCGACGGAUUGGCUCGCGUCCGAUUAGCUGGUUGGCGGGGUAACGGCCCACCAAGGCUGCGAUCGGUAGGGGUUCUGAGAGGAAGGCCCCCCACAAUGGGACUGAGACACGGCCAUACUCCUACGGGAGGCAGCAGUGAGGAAUAUUGGUCAAUGGGCGGAAGCCUGAACCAGCCAUGCCGCGUGCGGGAAGGAGGCCCUAUGGGCUGUGAACCGCUUUUGCCUGGGGGCAAUAAGGGCGUCGCGCACGUCCGAUGAGAGUACCAGGCGAAUAAGCAUCGGCUAACUCCGUG